rnacentral:rRNA from 1 species
GCGAGGCCGAAAGGCGUAGUCGAUGGGAAACAGGUUAAUAUUCCUGUACUUGGUGUUACUGCGAAGGGGGGACGGAGAAGGCUAUGUUGGCCGGGCGACGGUUGUCCCGGUUUAAGCGUGUAGGCUGGUUUUCCAGGCAAAUCCGGAAAAUCAAGGCUGAGGCGUGAUGACGAGGCACUACGGUGCUGAAGCAACAAAUGCCCUGCUUCCAGGAAAAGCCUCUAAGCAUCAGGUAACAUCAAAUCGUACCCCAAACCGACACAGGUGGUCAGGUAGAGAAUACCAAGGCGCUUGAGAGAACUCGGGUGAAGGAACUAGGCAAAAUGGUGCCGUAACUUCGGGAGAAGGCACGCUGAUAUGUAGGUGAAGUCCCUCGCGGAUGGAGCUGAAAUCAGUCGAAGAUACCAGCUGGCUGCAACUGUUUAUUAAAAACACAGCACUGUGCAAACACGAAAGUGGACGUAUACGGUGUGACGCCUGCCCGGUGC